rnacentral:lncRNA from 1 species
CCCAGGCUGAAGCCCCUGCCCGCCCCUCAGCCUCCCUGGCGGUCCAUGCGGCUUCUUGGCACCCCCGCCCCGCCCCUUCAGGGUGUCACCCACCUGGUCUGGUCCCUGCAUGGCCCAUGGCGGCAAGCGACCCCUGGCGGCGGCUGGGGGUGUUGUUGCGCCCACCCGAGGGCCAGUACUGGAGUGCUGCUCACCAGGCCAAGGGGCAGACUUGCAGAGCCUUGGAAGCAGGUCCUGGGACUGCAACCCCCAGGCUCAGACACUACUGGGGCCAGGUGACUGCGGCCGGAUCUUGGCCUGGGUCCCUCCCUAUGUGGGGAGCCCCACUCUUCACUGAUGGGAGAAAACGGCUUUUCUGGACGGCGUGAUCUGGGCACAGCAGCAGCACCGACCCCUGGAAACAGGUUACAGCGUCAACCCUUGGUCCUGCCCGGCCCCUCAGGAGGCCCUGGCCCUCUGGCUGGUGCUGGGGUCCUAGGUGCCAUGGCUGAACCCAGCGACCAGCAUCUCUCAGCUUGGUGCCCAGGGUUCCCGGGAUGCCCCAGCUGGGCCAAGCCUCUGCCUGACCAGAAGGGCUCCUGGAACUGCCUUGGGUUCCAGUGUGCCUGUCUGAGUUUGAGAUCCACAGGACGGGACUACUGGAGACGGGGUUAGGGUCGGGGAGGAAGCCCUGCCGUAUGGAGACAGAACUUCCUCAGGGAAGCCUGUUUUGCUCUGAAACCUCCACGCCCCCGAGGACGACAGGAGCUGAGCAGCUGCACCUGCAGGGGGCCUCCCUCCACACCCACACCCAGUCACAGGUCAUCCCACGCCCCCGUGGCAAGGGGAGGCUUGGCCAAGGACCAAGGUGCAAAGACAGCAGCUUGUAGCCCCGCUGGCUUGGACCACGAGUCCACCAGCCUCCGAGAACUUUCUGGAUUUCAGCUUUGGAAAGUUCCUUCUGCUUCUGAACUUCCUCUUGAGAAAAGAAAAGCAAACGUUCAGGAUGAGGAGGCAACCGAAACGAUGGGUGCCAGAGACAGCCCAAGGAAUGAGGCGAGGGACUCGAGCGCCAGGAGAGGCGGGCAGUGGGUGUGAGCCUCGGAGGGUGAUGGGUCCCUCCACCCGCGAUCUUCUAGGCCGGAUGCAAAGCCCAGGAAACAGCUGUUUCCUCCACAUCAGAUCCGCA